rnacentral:rRNA from 1 species
GAAAGGCCAAUCAAACCGGGAGAUAGCUGGUUCUCCCCGAAAGCUAUUUAGGUAGCGCCUCGUGAAUUCAUCUCCGGGGGUAGAGCACUGUUUCGGCAAGGGGGUCAUCCCGACUUACCAACCCGAUGCAAACUGCGAAUACCGGAGAAUGUUAUCACGGGAGACACACGGCGGGUGCUAACGUCCGUCGUGAAGAGGGAAACAACCCAGACCGCCAGCUAAGGUCCCAAAGUCAUGGUUAAGUGGGAAACGAUGUGGGAAGGCCCAGACAGCCAGGAUGUUGGCUUAGAAGCAGCCAUCAUUUAAAGAAAGCGUAAUAGCUCACUGGUCGAGUCGGCCUGCGCGGAAGAUGUAACGGGGCUAAACCAUGCACCGAAGCUGCGGCAGCGACGCUGAUGCGUUGUUGGGUAGGGGAGCGUUCUGUAAGCCUGUGAAGGUGUGCUGUGAGGCAUGCUGGAGGUAUCAGAAGUGCGAAUGCUGACAUAAGUAACGAUAAAGCGGGUGAAAAGCCCGCUCGCCGGAAGACCAAGGGUUCCUGUCCAACGUUAAUCGGGGCAGGGUGAGUCGACCCCUAAGGCGAGGCCGAAAGGCGUAGUCGAUGGGAAACAGGUUAAUAUUCCUGUACUUGGUGUUACUGCGAAGGGGGGACGGAGAAGGCUAUGUUGGCCGGGCGACGGUUGUCCCGGUUUAAGCGUGUAGGCUGGUUUUCCAGGCAAAUCCGGAAAAUCAAGGCUGAGGCGUGAUGACGAGGCACUACGGUGCUGAAGCAACAAAUGCCCUGCUUCCAGGAAAAGCCUCUAAGCAUCAGGUAACAUCAAAUCGUACCCCAAACCGACACAGGUGGUCAGGUAGAGAAUACCAAGGCGCUUGAGAGAACUCGGGUGAAGGAACUAGGCAAAAUGGUGCCGUAACUUCGGGAGAAGGCACGCUGAUAUGUAGGUGAAGUCCCUCGCGGAUGGAGCUGAAAUCAGUCGAAGAUACCAGCUGGCUGCAACUGUUUAUUAAAAACACAGCACUGUGCAAACACGAAAGUGGACGUAUACGGUGUGACGCCUGCCCGGUGCCGGAAGGUUAAUUGAUGGGGUCAGCGCAAGCGAAGCUCUUGAUCGAAGCCCCGGUAAACGGCGGCCGUAACUAUAACGGUCCUAAGGUAGCGAAAUUCCUUGUCGGGUAAGUUCCGACCUGCACGAAUGGCGUAAUGAUGGCCAGGCUGUCUCCACCCGAGACUCAGUGAAAUUGAACUCGCUGUGAAGAUGCAGUGUACCCGCGGCAAGACGGAAAGACCCCGUGAACCUUUACUAUAGCUUGACACUGAACAUUGAGCCUUGAUGUGUAGGAUAGGUGGGAGGCUUAGAAGUGUGGACGCCAGUCUGCAUGGAGCCGACCUUGAAAUACCACCCUUUAAUGUUUGAUGUUCUAACGUUGACCCGUAAUCCGGGUUGCGGACAGUGUCUGGUGGGUAGUUUGACUGGGGCGGUCUCCUCCUAAAGAGUAACGGAGGAGCACGAAGGUUGGCUAAUCCUGGUCGGACAUCAGGAGGUUAGUGCAAUGGCAUAAGCCAGCUUGACUGCGAGCGUGACGGCGCGAGCAGGUGCGAAAGCAGGUCAUAGUGAUCCGGUGGUUCUGAAUGGAAGGGCCAUCGCUCAACGGAUAAAAGGUACUCCGGGGAUAACAGGCUGAUACCGCCCAAGAGUUCAUAUCGACGGCGGUGUUUGGCACCUCGAUGUCGGCUCAUCACAUCCUGGGGCUGAAGUAGGUCCCAAGGGUAUGGCUGUUCG